rnacentral:rRNA from 1 species
UACGGAGGGUGCGAGCGUUGUCCGGAAUCAUUGGGCGUAAAGGGCGCGUAGGUGGCCUGCUAAGCGUGCGGUGAAAGUCGGGGGCUCAACCCCCGAUCGGCCGUGCGAACUGGGAGGCUUGAGCACUGUAGAGGCAGGCGGAAUUCCGGGGUGUAGCGGUGGAAUGCGUAGAGAUCCGGAAGAACACCGGUGGCGAGGCGGCCUGCUGGGCAGUUUGCUGACACUGAGGCGCGACAGCGUGGGGAGCAAACAGG